AUCUUGUGUGCUAGAAAGCCUGUAUAGAAGCACGGAACUUGGCAAUGUCACCCCCGCAUCACAUUUUCGGACCAGCAGUUUCCACUGGACCUCUGUCUGGAGCAUGAGAGGUGCAGCAGCCUACUCUGCCCCGCCCAGUACUACUGAUCCUAGAUCUGCACUUGAAAGGUUCUCCAGGUGACCUCUUCACACUUAUGCUCCGGAGGCCUUGCAGUGAGUGCUCCGCCUAAGAACAGGAGGUUGCAAAGUUCAAGUUUUAAUUGUGACCCUCAUGGCCACAAACAUUGCCUACAGGAUGUAUCUUUAAGUGCUUUAAAUCUAAGAAGUCUUUUAAUCACUUGCCUUGGAUAACAAACAAUUUAUAAUAACGAUUCACUUUACCCUAUCUGUAUCUCUUAAAGUAAAAGCUGGGGCAGUAAAAUGCUUUUGUGAAAAUUGUCAACAGUGGGUCUCUCAGGAACCCAGGGGAUGGCACACUACUGUUUGACGUUUCAGUCUACUUCUGUACCUUUUGAACUUCAAUAAUACGUAUUUUUUUUUUUUAUUAAAGGGAUUGUGAAAGGAGAUGAUGGAGAAAAUUGGGCAUCUUCUCUGACUGGACAAUUUAGUUUCCUUAUUUAAUAAAAGUAUCUGAGAAAUGUCCUCUUACACAGAGAAUUAUCUUUUCUUUCUUUUGGAAGGCCAAGCAAUAUCCAACACAAUUCCGUUAGCACACUCACACUCAGCGGUGUGCAGGAGAACAUCUGAGCAGGUCCUGACUUUGAAGCACUGUUACUCUUACAGAAUGCUCUCCGGUUAUUCACGUAAGCCUGUUUAUCAUGCCCUAUAAAGGGGAUCUUUCAGAAUUACUUGAAAGCAAGGGAGGAGAAAACACUCAAAUUUCCUUAGCUAUUCAUACCUAAGAUCUCCCCUCUUAAAGAGAGAACACUAAGUCAAUAGACAGAAGCAAUAGUAUAUUACUUCAUCCUGUAUGUGAUUUAUUGCAGAUAGAAAUCAUCGAGAAGCUGAAUUACUUGGAAUGUUUUACUACCGACAUUAAAGUUCCGGAUUUGGAUACCUGCACACCUUAGAGUGGUCCUGAAAACCACUUUCUGCAGACUCAGAAGAUAAUUCUGUAACUUCGUGCAACCCCAUCGACCUACAAAGAAACAGCGGCCAUUUUCAAAGUGACCGGUGCCUAGCUCCAAACCGCCUGCCUGACGGGGCUUUGACAUGUAUCCAGUCUCACCUGAUAAUCAGUUGCUCUCAGUCACAGCUACUUCCCAUCAUGUUCCAAGCAUGUGCUAAUUCAUGCUAAGACCUGAUCCUAACACAUCUUGUAUUUCUUUUUUUUUUUUUUUUAAAGCUUUCAUGAUCACCUUUGAUUGAAGUGUUAUCUCAGAUUCUACUUCUCAAUGGAACCUAAGAACUAACAGGGCCAAAAAUACAGCACGCUGUUUAGCAAUUAUGUAUUCGAGAUGUUGGUGGAGGUCAAGGGGCACUCCCAUGUCCUGGGCUAUGGAUAGGUCUCUGAUUAGCUUGUCAUCUGCUUGGAAGAAGAUGUAGGCUGAUUCUCUCUUAUAGUGCAGCGGGCCAGCUGUUAGCUGCCUGUCAAGCCCUCAAGUGGACAAGAAGUCCAGGAGCAAGAAUGUCACUCCUUUGAUCUGGCAAGGAGCAGCUGCUGAUUUAUAGAGUGGGACUUUGUUCUUCCGUUCUAUUUUACUUUCUUUCCUAAGGCAGAACCACAAAAUCCAGGAGAAAAAAAAGUGCCGUUCCCAGCAACAUCAACAAGCUCUGACAACUACAACAGGGUUUUUC